rnacentral:rRNA from 1 species
CACGUAGGGCGCAAGCGUUGUCCGGAAUUAUUGGGCGUAAAGAGCGUGUAGGCGGUCAGGUAGGUCCGUUGUGAAAACUCGAGGCUCAACCUCGAGACGCCGAUGGAAACCAUCUGACUAGAGUCCGGAAGAGGAGAGUGGAAUUCCUGGUGUAGCGGUGAAAUGCGCAGAUAUCAGGAAGAACACCCGUGGCUAAGGCGGCUCUCUAGUACGGUACUGACGCUGAGACGCGAAAGCGUGGGGAGCGAACAGG